UACGUAGGUGGCAAGCGUUGUCCGGAUUUACUGGGCGUAAAGAGCGCGCAGGCGGCCAGGUCAGUCGAAUGUGAAAGCCCCCGGCUCAACUGGGGAGGGUCGUUCGAUACUGCCUGGCUCGAAGGUAGGAGAGGGAAGUGGAAUUUCAGGUGUAGUGGUGAAAUGCGUAGAUAUCUGAAGGAACACCAGUGGCGAAGGCGACUUUCGGGCCUAUUCUUGACGCUGAGGCGCGAAAGCUAGGGGAGCGAACGGG
rnacentral:rRNA from 1 species